AAAACUUUCAACAACGGAUCUCUUGGUUCUGGCAUCGAUGAAGAACGCAGCGAAAUGCGAUAAGUAAUGUGAAUUGCAGAAUUCAGCGAAUCAUCGAAUCUUUGAACGCACCUUGCGCCCUCCGGCAUUCCGGUGGGCAUGCCUGUUCGAGCGUCAUC
rnacentral:rRNA from 1 species